GGACUGUCGCUGGCUUCGGCAUGUGCACGUUCUUUUCUCUCACUCACACUUGUGCACCAUCUGUAGGCCCUCGAAAGAGGAUCUAUGUUUUCCAUUCACACCGAUCGCAUGUCCAUAGAAUGUCAUAAUGAAAUACAACUUUCAGCAACGGAUCUCUUGGCUCUCGCAUCGAUGAAGAACGCAGCGAAUUGCGAUAAGUAAUGUGAAUUGCAGAUUUCCAGUGAAUCAUCGAAUCUUUGAACGCACCUUGCGCUCCUUGGCAUUCCGAGGAGCAUGCCUGUUUGAGUGUCAUUGAAUUCUCAACCAUGUCUUGGAGACAUUACAUGGCUUGGAUGUUGGGGGGUUUGCUGGCAUUCCCAAGAUUGUCAGCUCUCCUGAAAUGCAUUAGCAAAAUGGCAGACAUACACGGCCUUCCGACGUGAUAAUGAUCGUCGUGGCUGGAGUGUCAGACGCCCAUGUUGCUUCCAAUCGAGCNUGUUUAGCUACUAGUCGGUCGUGAGGCUGGCGAACGCGGCACGACGUUGACAACUUGACCUCAAAUCAGGUAGGACUACCCGCUGAACUUAAGCAUAU
rnacentral:rRNA from 1 species